rnacentral:rRNA from 1 species
UGGGAGGACCAUCUCCUAAGGCUAAAUACUCUCUAGUGACCGAUAGCGAACCAGUACCGUGAGGGAAAGGUGAAAAGCACCCCGGAAGGGGAGUGAAAUAGAACCUGAAACCGUGUGCUUACAAGUAGUCAGAGCCCGUUAAUGGGUGAUGGCGUGCCUUUUGUAGAAUGAACCGGCGAGUUACGAUUUGAUGCAAGGUUAAGCAGUAAAUGUGGAGCCGUAGCGAAAGCGAGUCUGAAUAGGGCGUUUAGUAUUUGGUCGUAGACCCGAAACCAGGUGAUCUACCCUUGGUCAGGUUGAAGUUCAGGUAACACUGAAUGGAGGACCGAACCGACUUACGUUGAAAAGUGAGCGGAUGAACUGAGGGUAGCGGAGAAAUUCCAAUCGAACCUGGAGAUAGCUGGUUCUCUCCGAAAUAGCUUUAGGGCUAGCCUCAAGUGAUGAUUAUUGGAGGUAGAGCACUGUUUGGACGAGGGGCCCCUCUCGGGUUACCGAAUUCAGACAAACUCCGAAUGCCAAUUAAUUUAACUUGGGAGUCAGAACAUGGGUGAUAAGGUCCGUGUUCGAAAGGGAAACAGCCCAGACCACCAGCUAAGGUCCCAAAAUAUAUGUUAAGUGGAAAAGGAUGUGGCGUUGCCCAGACAACUAGGAUGUUGGCUUAGAAGCAGCCAUCAUUUAAAGAGUGCGUAAUAGCUCACUAGUCGAGUGACACUGCGCCGAAAAUGUACCGGGGCUAAACAUAUUACCGAAGCUGUGGAUUGUCCUUUGGACAAUGGUAGGAGAGCGUUCUAAGGGCGUUGAAGCAUGAUCGUAAGGACAUGUGGAGCGCUUAGAAGUGAGAAUGCCGGUGUGAGUAGCGAAAGACGGGUGAGAAUCCCGUCCACCGAUUGACUAAGGUUUCCAGAGGAAGGCUCGUCCGCUCUGGGUUAGUCGGGUCCUAAGCUGAGGCCGACAGGCGUAGGCGAUGGAUAACAGGUUGAUAUUCCUGUACCACCUAUAAUCGUUUUAAUCGAUGGGGGGACGCAGUAGGAUAGGCGAAGCGUGCGAUUGGAUUGCACGUCUAAGCAGUAAGGCUGAGUAUUAGGCAAAUCCGGUACUCAUUAAGGCUGAGCUGUGAUGGGGAGAAGACAUUGUGUCUUCGAGUCGUUGAUUUCACACUGCCGAGAAAAGCCUCUAGAUAGAAAAUAGGUGCCCGUACCGCAAACCGACACAGGUAGUCAAGAUGAGAAUUCUAAGGUGAGCGAGCGAACUCUCGUUAAGGAACUCGGCAAAAUGACCCCGUAACUUCGGGAGAAGGGGUGCUCUUUAGGGUUAACGCCCAGAAGAGCCGCAGUGAAUAGGCCCAAGCGACUGUUUAUCAAAAACACAGGUCUCUGCUAAACCGUAAGGUGAUGUAUAGGGGCUGACGCCUGCCCGGUGCUGGAAGGUUAAGAAGAGUGGUUAGCUUCUGCGAAGCUACGAAUCGAAGCCCCAGUAAACGGCGGCCGUAACUAUAACGGUCCUAAGGUAGCGAAAUUCCUUGUCGGGUAAGUUCCGACCCGCACGAAAGGCGUAACGAUUUGGGCACUGUCUCAACGAGAGACUCGGUGAAAUCAUAGUACCUGUGAAGAUGCAGGUUACCCGCGACAGGACGGAAAGACCCCGUGGAGCUUUACUGUAGCCUGAUAUUGAAAUUCGGCACAGCUUGUACAGGAUAGGUAGGAGCCUUUGAAACGUGAGCGCUAGCUUACGUGGAGGCGCUGGUGGGAUACUACCCUAGCUGUGUUGGCUUUCUAACCCGCACCACUUAUCGUGGUGGGAGACAGUGUCAGGCGGGCAGUUUGACUGGGGCGGUCGCCUCCUAAAAGGUAACGGAGGCGCUCAAAGGUUCCCUCAGAAUGGUUGGAAAUCAUUCAUAGAGUGUAAAGGCAUAAGGGAGCUUGACUGCGAGACCUACAAGUCGAGCAGGGUCGAAAGACGGACUUAGUGAUCCGGUGGUUCCGCAUGGAAGGGCCAUCGCUCAACGGAUAAAAGCUACCCCGGGGAUAACAGGCUUAUCUCCCCCAAGAGUUCACAUCGACGGGGAGGUUUGGCACCUCGAUGUCGGCUCAUCGCAUCCUGGGGCUGUAGUCGGUCCCAAGGGUUGGGCUGUUCGCCCAUUAAAGCGGUACGCGAGCUGGGUUCAGAACGUCGUGAGACAGUUCGGUCCCUAUCCGUCGUGGGCGUAGGAAAUUUGAGAGGAGCUGUCCUUAGUACGAGAGGACCGGGAUGGACAUACCUCUGGUGUACCAGUUGUCGUGCCAACGGCAUAGCUGGGUAGCUAUGUGUGGACGGGAUAAGUGCUGAAAGCAUCUAAGCAUGAAGCCCCCCUCAAGAUGAGAUUUCCCAACUUCGGUUAUAAGAUCCCUCAAAGAUGAUGAGGUUAAUAGGUUCGAGGUGGAAGCAUGGUGACAUGUGGAGCUGACGAAUACUAAUCGAUCGAAGACUUAAUCAA